rnacentral:rRNA from 1 species
AGGCUGAACUCCCCGAGCACGUCGGCGAUCACGCUGGAACUGAUGGGCCACCGGCUGCAUAUCUCUCAGGACCCUAACUCGAAGCACCUCGGCACGACGGUAUGGGACGCGUCAAUGGUGUUCGCCAAAUUCCUGGAAAAGAAUAGCAGGAAAGGUAGGUUUUGUCCAUCAAAGCUGAAAGGGAAAAGGGCGAUCGAGUUAGGAGCUGGUUGUGGCCUAGCCGGGCUCGGUAUGGCAUUGCUCGGUUGUGAUGUUGUUACAACUGACCAGGUUGAGGUGCUGCCACUGCUCAUGAGGAAUGUUGAGCGCAAUAAAUCGUGGAUUGCGCAGUCUAAUCCUGACUCAGGCUCCUUUGGCUCAGUUACUGUUGCAGAAUUGGAUUGGGGAAACAACGAACAUAUCAGAGCCGUUGAGCCUCCAUUCGACUACAUCAUUGGAACUGAUGUUGUUUAUUCAGAACAUCUAUUGCAACCUCUACUGGAGACAAUUAUUGCACUAUCUGGUCCUAAGACGAAAGUGCUGCUUGGCUACGAGAUCCGUUCCACCACCGUGCACGAGCAGAUGAUGGAAAUGUGGAAAAUCAACUUUAAUGUGAAAACUAUAUCCAAGUCAAAGAUGGAUGCUAAAUAUCAACAUCCUAGCAUAAAUCUUUACAUGAUGGACCUCAAGGCUUCGUUGGUCCCCGAGGCCGGACCCAACGGCAAUGGGAACACCGAGGAGGAGGAGGACGACGAUGCCUCCAACCCAGGAGAAGAAGAAGAUCUGGGAGUGAAGGCUGAAUCGCGUAUGGCUUCAAAAGAAGACAUGGACGACUGGGAAAUCAGAAGGUCCGGGGCCAUGGCUGCAAGACUUCUCAAGGAUGUCAGGUUAACAUGA